AUUGAACGCUGGCGGCAUGCUUUACACAUGCAAGUCGAACGGCAGCACGGGGGCAACCCCUGGUGGCGAGUGGCGAACGGGUGAGUAAUAUAUCGGAACGUACCCGGAAAUGGGGGAUAACGUAGCGAAAGUUACGCUAAUACCGCAUAUGCCCUAAGGGGGAAAGCGGGGGAUUCGCAAGAACCUCGCGUUUUCGGAGCGGCCGAUAUCGGAUUAGCUAGUAGGUGAGGUAAAGGCUCACCUAGGCGACGAUCCGUAGCUGGUCUGAGAGGACGACCAGCCACACUGGAACUGAGACACGGUCCAGACUCCUACGGAGGCAGCAGUGGGGAAUUUUGGACAAUGGGCGCAAGCCUGAUCCAGCCAUGCCGCGUGAGUGAAGAAGGCCUCGGUUGUAAG
rnacentral:rRNA from 1 species